GCCUUACCUGCGCCAGCGUCUGUUUUUGUCGUUCAACAGCUGAGCCUCUCUUGGAUUCAUCCCUUCAUUAGUUAGCUCACUAGCUACUGAACGGCUAAAAUGGGCGCUAUCCCUGCAAGAGUCCAAACACAAAUAAUGCGUGGGAUGGUUUUAUCCGGUAUGUUUGGAAGUGCAGUAAAUCAUGGUACAUCUGUCCGGCUGUCAGCUGAUGGGAACGAUGACUUUCAUCCCCUCAUGUCUACACGGAGGACAAAAACAGACCAGCCAGAGGAAGAACAGAGUAGAACGUCCGGCUGAAAAGAGGACGAUUGCUGGAUGAAGAGGGAGAGUCAAAGAAACAGAGGAAUUCCUGGCCGUGCUGUCGAAACAUCGAGGGCAUGGUUUUGCCUCAUUGAUUAUUUCAGGAAAAGUGAAAGGAAGCAAGGAAUCAUUCUGAGAAAACAUCUCCUCUCUGCCUUUCCCCUCUCCCUUUCCUUUGCUUCUAAAGUUUGGUCUUACAGAAUGAUGGAUGAGGAACUUGCACUGUGGCCUCUGAUGUCCUCUCCUCUUCCUCUCUCCUUAUCCUCCUCCUCCGCACACACACACGCACACACACACACACACACACACACACACACACACACACACACACACUCUCAGAUGCACAGUGUUAGCGAGUGAUGGAUGGGGAGAUGGCAGCGUGGCAGUAAUAGCACACACUGAGAGCAAGACUGCCACUUAUUCAUUUGUCUCCGUAUUCACAUCUUUAUUUAUGUCUGUCCCCAUACUAACAUGUAAAUAUAGAUGUACAUAAUGAAAAAUUAAGUUUUUCUGACCAAAAGUCUUGCACACUUUAGAUUUUUGUCUGAAAUAUAAUGUGUAUCAGGGUGCACAUAAGUUUUUAUUUUGUAUAUACCAUUCGUUUAAUUUAGAUGUGGUUUGUGUCCGGAGUUUGACAUGUUACCUGGAACUUGGGGUUUAUGGAGGUCACGUGUAUGUCGUCCAACUUCAGGUUUUGAAAAAUGUCCGAUGUGGUGGGAAUGAUGGGCAUCAGGCAGCUUACACAACAUUACACAUUAUUAAUCAUCUUCACAUUGUCUAGGGGGGCAACGGCACAAAGAUGAGAGGGAGAACAGGAGGAGGAGGAAGGCGAAGAAAGCGGAGGAAAAAGGGGGAGUGAAGGCAAAGGAGGAGGGUUAGAAAGCCACAAAUAACCACCAUCAAUCAUCAAGCAGUCAACAUUUUCACAUGUUAGGAUUGCCUCUUAUUGGCAGCAGCCAGAGAUCUGUGGCUGAUGUGUGUCUGUGUGUUUGUGUGUGUUUGCUCUGUCUUGCCCAACCUGGACUUCUCUCCCUUUCUCACUGUCUUCACCUUUCCUUAAACUGACGCACAAACAACAACAGUUGAGAAAUCACCCUCGUCAGCAGGAAGCUGGCAGGUGUGUUAACUCCCCUAGUACCAAAUUAGGAUGUGCAAGAUUGCAAAAACGCCUCGGCUCUCAUAUCUCCCUUUUUAAUCACAAACACUUACAUGAGCCUGGAUGGAAACAUACAUUAGGCUUUAGCCAAGGAUUUGCUUUGGAUGCCGGGCAAGGCCUCAGAUCACAUUCAACUCUCCAAAAUGACUCUGGGAUCUUUGCCUGCUAGCCUGAGAGAAAGACCUCAGGUCAGCCUUCGUCUGGGGUGUUGUAAUCUACUGAUUUAUAGAAAUGUUGUUGCCCAAAAACAAGUUGUGUUGUGUUGAAGUGCACGUUAAAUCAUCCAAGUCUGACCUCUCCGAAAUAAACAAAGUAAAAAAAAAAAUUGUGAUGUCCUGUGAAACUGCAUAAAAAACGUGCAGCUUUUUAAACUUCGUAACAGUCUACAAAGUUGUUUUUUUUAGUUUAUUUGGAGGAGUUGGAGCCCCGAUUCUUUAAAAGGGAAACACGUAACAGUCUUGUUUCUCUUUUAAAAAAAAGUUUGCCAUCAUAAAUGAUUAAUAUAGGGCAUAGUACUGUUUUUAUGUUGCUGUGCUUUGACCUACAGCAUUUUGAUCAGUGAGCAUUAUCAAAAGCAUAUUUUAAUUUAUUGGACAUUUUGGCCUUGUGGAUUAUGGAAAAAUAACACUAGGGGGUGCUCUAGGUUUGUCCAGCCAACUGUUGAGGUUUUCUCCAGAUCCAGGUGUGUGUGUUCAUGUGUGAGCGCAUGCACAUGUAAAAGUGUUGUGCGCUCUGUCCACCUGCCGUCCAGACAGUGAUCCUGUCAGUCAGUCUAACUUUUCUGUUGUUGGAGUCUCACCACAUCCUGCCACAAGACAUCUUUAUCAUUAACUCUGUGUCUCUGUUUAUGACACUGGAUGGUCAGAGGUGAAGUUUCUUAGUUACAAAGUAUUGCGUGAUAAUAGAGUUAAUAGAUGAAGGUUUUUCAGGCGUCGCGUCCAUCACUUCAUAUUUAGUUACUUAAUACCAUCGAAUAUAAACAAACCUGCUGAGUGGACACAAGUGAGCGCACUAAUUGGUUGUUUGAAAGAUAUAAUUUUAGUCUUGUUUGGGCUGUUUCUGAAUUGUCAAGAUGCACCAGUUCUGUCUUUAUUUAGGAACAUUUUGCUCUCUCUACUUUUUAAACACACAUAUUCACCAAUUCAUGAAGUUUGAGAUGUGUCAGUUUCAAUAGUUCACUGUUUAAAAAAAAGUUUAAAAAAAACUAUUAACUCUGUAUUUCAUCACUAAUAUUGGGUUACAGUCAUUUAGUCAUGCAGCCUUUAGCAGGAAUGUGCUGUGAUUUAGCUGCCCUCUUAGAAGCACAGCAUUCACAUGCACAUCUCUCCACUGUGGCACACUGUUGAGAUGCAGUUUCUUGUGGAAUUUUCCAUCUUUGUCUUUCAUGUGAUUCAUGCUCUUUUAUUGAUAUUGACAAAGUACGAACCCUUUCAUUGACCUCCAGCUCUAUUAUUGUGGUACUCGCUUGCCUGCGGCUGAGAAAAUAUGACAUUAUCGAGAUUGUAAAUUAGAUGCGUAUUUUUGAAAGAAAGAGCUACAAAUGGCAGCACAUUGAAAUCAUUGUCUGCUGUGUUAUGAGGCCUUGGGUGAACUGCAGUUGCAUGUUUGCCUGUGUUUGUGGCCAGACAGUGUGGCUGGAAGAAACGGCACCCAGGGCACUAUGAGGGAAAGGACAGUGGCAUUGGUAUGGCGAGGCAGUUCCACCCCUCCACCACUCUAAAUAUUUGUGUCAUACUCUCAAGUUUGUGGUACUUUGAGGGAAAAAAGCAAAACAAUCCACAGUAUAUUUAGCUUGUUUUUUGCCAAAAAUAUUUGCCCUACAUUAUUAAAGACAAAUUCUUCCAUAAAUCUUACUCCACUAUAAAUCAAAUGUCUUGUUUUCCACAUUUCUGGUUUUGUGAAGGAACACUGGAAAUAAUCCCAGAACCAUAAAUCAGAACAAUGGAAAAUAAGAUGUCUAAUGUGUGGUUUUUUUUAUUUAUUUAUUUAGAUUUCUAGUGUUAAUGUAUUCUUCAAAAGGAAAAGGACAAAAUACAAUAUAUUCAUGCAAACGUUUUUAAAAAAAAAGAAAAAAAACCAUUAUUGUACACAUAUUUAAACAGUUCUGUAUUGUAUUUUGCAGUUUUUCUUCUGAUUUCCCAACUCUGUCAGUUGAGAAAUUGUUUAAUCAUUGAACAAGUCAUCCCCUGCCCUCCAGAUGCAUGGCUGUGAGAAGGCGAAAGGAGAGACUUCACUGAUAUUCAGGCUCCAGAUGAGAGAGACAAGUAAUCCUAAAACAUGGCUGUGUAGCAGAACUGCAUGCAUCUGUUCAUUGUCAUCUUGUAGGGAUGUUGACUGAUGAUGCACCUGACUCUCCUCUCCUCUCCUCUCCUCUCCUCUCCUCUCCUCUCCUCUCCUCUCCUCUCCCUUUCCGACUCCGACCAGCCCACCCCUCCGCGGAAAAUAGGGGGAAAAUCACAGAAACACACAGCCAGAUUAUUCACGGCGCACCGUUAUUGAAUAUGUGACUAACACACUGAGAAUCGCUCUGGGAAAUCAGAUUAAAAAAUGCAUUAUUUAUAAGGACAUGGAAUGCCGAUCCGAUAGGGCGCAGCGAGUGGAAGAAUACACCUACAAUAUACCCCAAACAACAUUACAAGUUUGAUCGUGACACUUCCUACUGUAGUUAUUCAUUUUUAUAAUGUUCACAAAUGUUCCGCUUUAUGUUCUGAUAUUGAAAUAUGACUCAUAGUAAAAUUACGUGGUAGAAGUGUUUUAUUAUUUUUGUUUAAAUAAUAUUACCUUUAUUUUCUCUCCUCUCUUCCCCCUCACACACACACAGUCUAAAAGACAGUUUGAUAUGUUUUCAGGGACGCUAUAAAGCCUGAUAUCAAAUCACUUAAACCACUUUCGUUGCUAUUCCGGUGUCACCUCUCUGUGGCACAUGAAUCAUUAAAUGUAGAUUACAAAAAAAAUACGUGAAUUAAAAAGAUCAAAUCCAAUUGAUAACUGGCACUGUAUCAGCCUGCUAAUUAUGUCAUUUUAAGAUUUUAUUGCCUACUGGAAGCCAAAAUAAUUUCUUUAAGCAAAUAAAUUUAUGAAGGGAUUUGUGAUUAUUUAUUGAAAUGCUGUAAUGAAUACGCUCUGUUUUAAACAAUGUAACACAAAGACUGCAAUUUCUCUGUUUUAUAAUGAUCGAACCCACCAAACUGAAACAAAUACAUUUCACUUCCUUUCAAACGCAAAAUUGCAUGAGUAUUUUUUGUGACACUUGUUCAUGAUGUGCAUUAUUUCGAACACUAUGUCCUUCAAACAGUUCAUCUCCCUCUCUGUCUGGAGAUCUCUGGAUUCUCCUCAUUUUUAAUUGAUGUAAUGACCAGCCGUUUUGUUUUUCCUCUCUGAAAUUUCUCAUGGAAGCGUCUUAUGGAAGUUGCUGUAAGCUAAGUUUCACUCACCUGAAUUUACCAUCUUCUGUGGUUGAAUAGUUACCAUCACUUUGUCCAGGGCAGCAGCCUCUCCCUCUUCCUUUACAUCGUUUUCCAAACACUUUUGGUUGUGGUGCAGCUGUAGAUUCUCUUCAUUGGUUGGUCUCUCUGUCUCAGUCUCUCUGUCGCUCUCUUUCAGUUCUUUGAAAAGCGGCCAAUCUGCUGACACGGGGAAGUGUUUUGGCGUUCGGCAGAGAUGUGCCGGACUCGUCCCUGUCUAAGCGAUUACUCUUUUAUCUGAUCCUUUACUCUGACGCUAUGGUCAAAUAUUUUUUCCAUUCAGUUGCCUCUCUUUUCCCCCUUUCUCUCUCGCUCAUUUUCUUUCCUCCUCAUCUUUUUCCUUCUGUGGCACAAUUUUUUUGUUAAACACUUAAGUCAUACAAAUCCACGCAAACGCCUGGCCUCCAGUCACAGGUGUGGUGUUUGAGUCAUGCAGGCCCUAGCAGGUGAAUAUUGGGAGGAGGAGGUUAUGUCAACACCUCUAGCCCCUUUGACACCCCUCGCUCCACUCGCAUGUGGGCCGAACCACACAUUUGGCAGCCCCCAGGGGAAUGCCAGGGGGUUUCCACUUUGAACACGCAGAGGUGAGGUAUAGAAAUAAUUCACAUCUGGAAAUAACCCUUUUCUCUUUCCUCAAGAGUUUUGUUUGCCCUUUGUCUUUUCACCUUUCCCAUGAGGGCAAUGUCAGGUGGCAUCAUUUUAUCAGUUUAACUAUGACCAGUCCUGAAAGGCUAUAAGUGGUCACUUUGACAUCGGUGUCAGCCAGUUGUGGAAACUUUUGUUCUGAAAAAAUUUAAAAAAGAGAAAUUAAGCAAAUUCAUUUUCAUAUCCAGUGACCAUUUUUUCUUUUUGUUUUAUUACUGUCAUAGUGAUUAAUUUACUGCAAAGUUUCUUGUUACUAGUUGUGUUAUUUCUUUCAACCAGUGAUCAAUCUGACUGCUGUUGGUUUUGAAUGAAAACAGACUUGUGAGAGCAUGUUUGCCUUGUGGACUUUUUUUCCCCACAGGGGGCAUCAGCAGCAUGCUGGUAACCAACUCAGAUACAACGUUUGCAACAGAGCUCAGGGCUCAUAUUCAGCCUGCCAUGCUCUCCAUAACCAUAGGUGUGUGAUGGGAGUGGGAGGAAGAGGGGAAAGAUGGGAAGGAUGAAGGAGUAGUCGCAUCAGCAGAAAGUUGUUUUUCUGUGGCCUGGAGAUUCUAUUUAAAGUGGGAUCUGGGGUGGAGGUGGGGAGGCAAAGGAGGGGGAAAUUGGGAGGUAGACUUGGAGUGGUCCACAGCCUGGAGAAACCUAGGCAGGAUGAAGGAGGGAGUAUGGGUGGUGUGGAGGUAGGAUGCGCAGAUCGCCUCUGUUUUUAGUUUUGAUUGAGGUUGAAAUAUGCGUGUUUGUGUGCAUUUGAAGUGGAUCCACGAGCCAUACCUUGCUGCGUGGGCGCGAAAAUGUGUGCGAGUUUGCCCAUGCUUGUGUGUCUGUGUGUGUCUGAGGUAUUAAUCUUCUCUGUCAGUGGAGCCCAGAUGCAGGGCCCUUCCAGAAGCACAAGCCCGGACUCAGCAGUCUGCACUGGGCUCUGGGAAGCAGGCAUGGGGUAUAAGCGGGGGCUUUUAAAGGGGGGCGUGGUGGUGGAUGCCGCUGGUUGUGUUACUAGAGUGGGGCACUCUGAUGGAGAGGGCAAGGGGGAUAACACACAGCAGAUUAGCUAAUGAUAUUAGCCAGAGAAGACCCUCAGGUAAAACCCAGUGGUUGCAAUUAGUGGAGUUUCUUCAAGGUUGCCCCGUGGCCCUUACACAAACACAAACACACAUGCACCGACUCACUGCUUAUAUUUGACACACAGUAACCACUUGCGUUAAGUACUGAUGCAAGUCUUGCUCCACAUUAAAUUAUAACCAUCAUCCCCUCUCUUACCUCCCUUUCUGCCUCCACAAUCCAACUGUUACCCCUCUCCUUCGUCUCUCCAUUAACGGCGCUCAUGGGCCCCCUUCGCUGUUUGCCCACUGUGAGAACAGACGAACUAACAUGUUUGCUCUGCGGGAAACACACACUCACAAUCACUCAAUGGGGCGAAACUGGGACUGCGAGCGAGCCGACAGACUCUAUUCAAGAGUAUGCUGAUGCGCACAAGUGCUCAAACAAACACACACACACACACACACACACACACACACACACACACACACACACACACACACACACACACACAGGCUAAAAACUUCAAAGCAGGGGGUAGCGAGAUUGACAUAACAAGCUGAUAAACCUCUUUCUCCAGUUAAGUUGCCAGGACAGCACUGAGAGGAAAGGUGUUGGUAUCUGUUGGUGAUGAAAGAUAUUAAUGUAUUAACAAAAUAUAGUUGAUUUCAAGCAUAUUUAGUAAUGAGGUUGCUGAGCAGAGCACAUAGUGAUGCUAAGGCUUGUAAUCAAUCAUCUGAAAAAGAACUUAUGCAACUCUUUGAUCUUAACCCAGUUUGAAGUUGAUCACUUUAAGCCACUAAUAAGUAAGGAUUGUUUAGAAUUUAAAUGUUUUGUCAAAAGAUAUGCAAUAUAUGCAUAUUUCUCGUGGACGUGUGUAGUACACUACUAAUGUAUACAGUACAGAACUUCUUAUUUGAUUUACUAAUUGGUCAACUCAUCAAUUAAUCAAAUGAAAAGUGUCAAACUUGCUGGUUCUAGUUUUCAAGUGGCAGGUUGUUGCUUCUGAUUUCUUUUUAGCUGUACAUUAGAGCUACACGAUUAUGAUCAAAAUGAUAAUCAAGAUUAUUUUGAUUAAUAUUGAGAUUUAUUUGAAUUCUUUACAUCUCCUAGAGGCAAAAAUAUAAGUUAAAUUGUACCUUAACACAUCAUUGGAUGAACAUCUGUUUAUAGAUAGAUACUAUAAUUAAUUGGUGUUCCCUGAACGCGUCACAUGCAUGCUACAGUAGAUACUAGCUAGAUGGCUAUGCACCUGAAAGCCUCUAGUCUCCCAAAUCUAUUCCUGCACUGCUACCAACUCGGACAGGUGUAUGACCAAAAAUUACAUUGAAAGGAUCAAAUAAAGUGCUCUACUGUUAAAUUUGUUGAUAACAAGUGAUUUUAUCUACAUACAAGAGUGUAGCACAUUUUUUUACUGUUGAUGUCACUGUCAAUCAUGUUUAUUUAAUUGUGGGAAGCCACAAUUUUGAUUGUGAUUAACAUUUGCUUAAUUGUGCAACUUUGUUGUAAAUGGAAUGUAUUAUUUUUUGUGACUUUGAUCUACCCAACAAUGAAUUGUUAAGACUUCACUGUGGGUUCUAGGAAAUAGUUUGGCACAUUUUUUUCAUGUUUUUCUUAUACUUAAUAAGCCUAAUUAUAGUUACUGUUCUUCAUGUACCGUAUGUGCAUUAAGUGUUUUACACAUUGCAAAAGUGUUUCAGAUGUGGUCUGUAAGCACCAUCACAAGUGUAAAUACCUGCUGAGAAAUGGCAGCACCUUUUGGUUUUUUUGCUUGUUGAUUACAGUUGCUUGUCAUUUUUCUUUUUAUCUCAGCAUAUCCUCUCUGGCAGUUUAUGGUAUGUGAAAUACUUGUUCCACAAAGUUGACAAACACACAGUUUUUGCGCAGUGUGAAGUGUUACUUUGCCUCCCUCCACACCUCCUCUGUGAAGCUGUGAUCACCACUUAGAAUUACGUACACAACCUGGCUCUCCUGUGACAAAGUGAUGAAUUACAAGAGCUUAAAAAACAUCUUUUGCUCUGACUCUUUCCUGUCUCUCUGGCUCCAAGAAACCUCCCUUUGUUGCUCUUUACCUAUAAUUCUCUCCUCCGUGUAUCCUCUCUCAUUUGUCCUGUCUGUCUUUUCACACAGACGGACAAACUGCUCUGUAAAGGGGUGAAAUUAUUUCCAGUGCAAUAAUAAAGCAAGUUAAAUGACCAA